rnacentral:rRNA from 1 species
UACGGAGGGAGCAAGCGUUACUCGGAAUUAUUGGGCGUAAAGGGCGCGUAGGCGAUUUGAAAAGUCUUGUGUGAAAGCCCCGAGCUUAACUCGGGAAGUGCACAAGAAACUGUUGAAUUUGAGUUCCGGAGAGGAAGGCAGAAUUCCCGGUGUAGCGGUGAAAUGCGUAGAUAUCGGGAGGAAUACCAGUGGCGAAGGCGGCCUUCUGGACGGAUACUGACGCUGAUGCGCGAAAGCUAGGGGAGCAAACAGG